CUGGUGUUAAGUUGUAAGCCAUGUUAAACUUAAAAGGACACCGUAAGCACCCAGACCACUUAAACUCAAUGAUAUCUGUAUUCCAAAUGCUAUGUGUUCCUUAAGUUAUCAUAUCUCUGAUAGAGGAUUACCCAUAUUUCUGAUCUAUUUUGGACAAUUGUAAACAUGAGUGCAGUUUGGUUUUGCUUUUAGCAUGCUGCAAAUGUCAUGCACUCACAUGAUGAGAGUCAGGAAAUAGGAAGUGCCGUCUGAUGCGAUAACUGACGAUGUUUCCUGCUCUG